GAAGAGUUGACUCACUGGAAAAGACUCUGAUACUGGGAGGGAUUGGGGGCAGGAGGAAAAGGGGACGACAGAGGAUGAGAUGGCUGGAUGGCAUCACUGACUCGAUGGACGUGAGUUUGAGUGAACUUCGGGAGAUGGUGAUGGACAGGGAGGCCUGGCGUGCUCCGAUUCAUGGGGUCGCAAAAAGACGGACACGGCUGAGUGACUGAACUGAACUGAACCUAGCUUUAUGGUCAUGUACAGAUGUAAGAGUUGGACCAUCAAAAAGACUGAGCACCAAAGAACUGAUGUUUCGAAUUGUGGUGCUGGAGAAGACUCCUGAGAGUCCCUUGGAUUGCCAGGAAGUCAAACCAGUCAAUCCAAAAGGACAUCAACCUUGAAUAUCAAUUGGAAGGACUGUUGCUGAAGCUCCAAUACUUUGACCACCUGAGGUGAAGAGCUGACUCAUUGAAAAAGACUCUGAUGCUGGGACAGACUGAAGGCAAAAGGAGAGGGCGUGGCAGAGGAUGAGAUGAUCAGAUAGCAUCACCAACUCGAUGUGAAUUUGAGCAAACUUGGACAUAUAGUGAAGGACAGAGGAGCCUGGCGUGCUACAGUCCAUGGGGUUGCAAAGAGCCGGACAUGACUUAGGGACUGAAAAAUAGCAACAACAAAGUUAUUCUCAAGUUAUAUAGGAGGAAACAUAGGGUUAUUUCAUGUAAGAUGUCUGAAAUUACCCUUAAUUCUGAGCUGAAGUAUGAAAGACACAAGCACUAUGAAACAUUUUAGAGGAGAGUUAAUACGAACAUAUUUGGGAAAUGGACACCCACCUGCUAAAAUUGUGGCCAGUGUAAGUAUUAGGAGCACCAGAAAGAUGACGACUGUGAUCAUUUUAGUGAUACAAAAUUUCUUUUUAUUUUCUUUUGAGGGUUCUUGUGAUUCCAUAAUAAGGUUGGAACAGAUAACAUCUCCUAUAGAAAAAUUAAUCAGUUCUUUAGUACUUAUGUGACCUUAUACUGUUGUAGAAUUUGAGAUUAAUAUAUACAAACCAACCACAUUUCUAUAUACUACCAUUUAUCAAUAGGAAAUUAAAAUAUAGCUUACCAUUUACAAUAGCAUAAAAUAUUGAAUGCUUAUGGAUUUAUGUGUGACAGAAGACAUAUAAAACUUGUACAAUAAAGAUACAAAACAUUACUGAAAGAAACUGAAGACAUAAAUAAAUGGAAGGAUACUGUCUUCAUGCUUCAGAACACACAGUAAUGUUAUGAUGUCAAUAUGCUAAAACUAAUCUAUACAUUAUCACAAUCAUACACAAAGUUCUCAGCAUUUUUUUUUUUUUGAGUAGAAGUAGGUAAGCUGUUUUUAAAAUUCCUAUUGAAAUGUAAAAAGAACUAGAAUAGCCAUGUUUGAAAGAGAACUAAAUUUGAGCACAAGUAUUACCUGGCUUAAAGACUUAUAAAAAAUACAGUUGCCAAUAUAGCAGUAGCAGCAGCAGAAAUAGACCCACACAUGUGCAGACACCAGAUUUUUGGCAAAGAUGCAAAAGAGGAUAGUCAUUUUGAUAAACAGUGCUGGAAAUAUUGGAUAUCCAUAUAAAACAAAAGACUUUUUAAUCCAUACCACAUCCCAUAUGUAAAAACUAAUUCAAAAAGGAUCAUAGAAAUAAAUGUAAAAGCUGAAGCUAUAAAAAGUUUCAGAGAAAACACGAAUUGUUUUUUGUUAUUUUGGAUUAGAGAAAUAUUCAAUCCAACCAAAAAACAUGAUGUCAAAAAAAUAAUAAAUUGGACUUGUAUUAAAAUUCUGCUCCUCAAAAAACAGUUUUAACAAAAUGAAAAGUCAAAUCAGAGGCUGGAAGAAAUAUUUUCAAAUUCAAAGUCUGAUAAAGGUCUUGGGUCCAAAAUACACAAAGAGCUUGAUACUUAAGAAAACACACAACAUAACAAAAAUACAAACAAGGUGUAACAGACAUUUCAUGAAAUAAAUAUAUAGAUGAAAUAUAUAGAUGGCAAAUUACCACAUAAAAAGAUGUUCAGCAUUAUUAGUCACAAAGAAAGUGCAAAUUAAAGCUAAAUUUAGAAACUACUACGUACCUAUUAGAAUAAUUAAAGUUAAAAUGUCCGACCAUAGCCAAGUAUUAGUGAGAAUAUAGAAGAACUUGAACUCACUCAUUCACUGUGAGACCAUUUUGGAAGGCACUGUAAAAAUCUCUCAAAAAGCUAAAUAUACACCUAUGAUAUGAUCCAUUAUUUCUAUGCAUAGGUACUUCCCCAAGAGAAAUGGAAGAGUAUGUCCAUACAGAGAUUGGUACCUAAUUUUUUAUAGAAGCUUAAUUUGUAAUAACCCCAAACUGUGGGUGAAUAAAUAGUGUUUUAUCUAUAUGAGGGAACACUAGUCAGCAACAAAAAAGAAAUGAACUACUGAUACAAACAAUGACAUGGAUGAAUUUUAUAACUGAACAAAAGAAGCCAAACUGAAAUGAGUAUAUACUGUGUGAUUCUAUCUAUAUAAAAUUCUAUAAAAUGCAUAUCUAUCUAUAGUGUCAGAAAUUUGAUGUGUGAUUCUUUCAAGGAGGGCAUGCUGAAAUUAGCAAGAGAAAAAUAUAAUAAAGGGAUAUGGGAAAAAUUUUGGUGUUAAUAAAUAUUUCAUUAUCUUGAAUGCAUUUAUAGUUUCUUGUAUAUUGUCAUGUACAUCAAAAUCUAUCAGGUUGUACACUUUAAAUAUGUGCAUUUUAAUGUAAUGUCAGUUUUCUCUCAAUAAAGCUGUUAAUAUGAAAAUCAGGUAUCUUUAAUUCACAGUGUGUAUCUGUUUAUAGUAUUUAUAAGCUCCCUUAGAUACACAGCUGGAAAUAAUUUGGCACGGAUAGGAGAAAUGAAAUGCUGACUCCCUC
ensembl:lncRNA